UACGUAGGGUGCAAGCGUUAUCCGGAAUUAUUGGGCGUAAAGAGCUCGUAGGCGGUUUGUCGCGUCUGCUGUGAGAACCGGAGGCUCAACCUCCGGCCUGCAGUGGGUACGGGCAAACUAGAGUGCGGUAGGGGAGAUUGGAAUUCCUGGUGUAGCGGUGGAAUGCGCAGAUAUCAGGAGGAACACCGAUGGCGAAGGCAGAUCUCUGGGCCGUAACUGACGCUGAGGAGCGAAAGCGUGGGGAGCGAACAGG
rnacentral:rRNA from 1 species